AUUGAACGCUGGCGGCAUGCCUUACACAUGCAAGUCGAACGGCAGCACGGACUUCGGUCUGGUGGCGAGUGGCGAACGGGUGAGUAAUAUAUCGGAACGUACCUUUCAGUGGGGGAUAACGUAGCGAAAGUUACGCUAAUACCGCAUAUUCUGUGAGCAGGAAAGCAGGGGAUCGCAAGACCUUGCGCUGAUUGAGCGGCCGAUAUCAGAUUAGCUAGUUGGUGAGGUAAAGGCUCACCAAGGCGACGAUCUGUAGCGGGUCUGAGAGGAUGAUCCGCCACACUGGAACUGAGACACGGUCCAGACUCCUACGGGAGGCAGCAGUGGGGAAUUUUGGACAAUGGGGGCAACCCUGAUCCAGCCAUGCCGCGUGAGUGAAGAAGGCCUUCGGGUUGUAAAGCUCUUUCGGCCGGGAAGAAAUCGUGUGGCUAAUACCCCAUAUGGAUGACGGUACCGGAAUAAGAAGCACCGGCUAACUACGUGCCAGCCGCCGCCGUAACAC
rnacentral:rRNA from 1 species